rnacentral:lncRNA from 1 species
AUGUCCCCAAUGGUUAGAUUUUGGGUAAAUCACUUAUUUGAAGGGUUCGUGCUGUAGCUGCGUUUCGAUACAUGAUCGACUGGCCAGCAUCACUGGACAGCCAGAAUGGAAAACAGCGCAUGUCGUAAAGGAACUUUUGCUCCCGACUGUACAUCCGGACGUACACUUUGGACCAGUUUGAUAUGCAACACCUAACCUGUGUUCAAACAGCGUUUUCUGCAAACAUCUUGGCGUAAUCCGACGACGAUGUCGCACUCAACCGCCGCAGAGCACUGUAGGGGUAGCAGUGCGGCACUGGGAACAUGGGAGUCCCGUGUACUGAGAACACGAUGACUCUAAUGUUGGCGGAGACGGGCACUGCUCCCCCUUCGUCUUGGGUGUGAUUACCCAGGGAACAUACUCUGGCGGUCAGCA